rnacentral:rRNA from 1 species
UACGUAGGGUGCGAGCGUUGUCCGGAAUUAUUGGGCGUAAAGAGCUCGUAGGCGGUGUGUCACGUCGUUCGUGAAAACCUGCAGCUUAACUGUGGGCGUGCGGUCGAUACGGGCAUCACUGGAGUUCGGCAGGGGAGACUGGAAUUCCUGGUGUAGCGGUGAAAUGCGCAGAUAUCAGGAGGAACACCGGUGGCGAAGGCGGGUCUCUGGACAGUUCCUGACACUGAGACACGAAGGCCAGGGGAGCAAACGGG